GGGCAUGGUAGACCUUGGCGAAGGUUCCAUGGCCAAGAAGCUUGCCGAUCUCGUACCGACCCAGAAGAAGAGUCUGGUUAUUGGUACUGGGUUGGAUUUUGGUCGCCAUAGAUGGAAUUGAGGGAGAAGAAUUGGGCUUUGAUUUGAUUUAGGUGGAAAAGAAAAAGAGGGCUAAUGAUAAGGCAUUGGAUUGGUGGUUUCCGGUCUGUUUGGGAUUGUGC
rnacentral:misc_RNA from 1 species